AUUUUAGGGUUUGAGUCACAGAUCAGUGAGUAUACUUGGUUUGUGUCUUUGGUUUCAAGAUCUGUCAAUGUAUAGUUUUAUUCAAGUCUGUUUAGGAUAAAGGAAUGAGAUCCUAUACUUUGAAGACUAAGAAUUUGUGAAGUUAAAACAUGAGAGAGAAUUCUUCAUUACCUCUAAUUUAUAAAAAUAUCAUCCAGAAAGUACAGAAGUGAACCAUACAAAAAUAAAUUUAAUUGUAUUUCUUUACACUGUUUAAAAAAGAAAAAUAUGAAUUACACUCUCCUAAUGUUUUCUAGAAAAACUAGGAGCUAACACUGAGCUUUCAGUUGCGAGGGAGAAACACACCAAGAUUUCAUAUAGUGUUUCAUUGGAAUUUCCUGAAGCAAAAACCUGAUCUCGGGGAUUAAAUUCAUUAGAGCAUCUUGUUUAAGAAGCCACGUUUUAGAAAGUUAGCAUGUAUGUUAAACCUCUUAAGUUUUCAUUUGUCUAACCCAAAGACUUAAUAUCCACUUUUCAAAGAUGUGAUCUGUUUUUGCCCAGGUUUUGGAGCCAUUACUUUGGAGGAGUGCAAUUCUUGUAGUGCUUUGAUUGGAAUCAGUCGGAGUACUGAAACAAAUGUGACCUAUGUAGAUAGUGCUUUGAUUUCCUGAAUAUCUUGGGUGUCUUCAGGUGAAGGAAAAGGAAGAAGAGAAUAAAAACUUGAGAUAGGUAAGUUUAGUUGAAGGCUACAUAUCAGAGUGAAGCGGAAAACACUGAAGGAGUGUAUUUACUGCUUGUAGGGGAAAAACAACUCAUGACUUACUUAAAUCAAGUUAGAAUUGAAGUGAUUUGUUGAUUUAUUGAUAGUUUGUAAUUAACUGUUAGUCCAUGAACUAUACGUGCAGGAUUAAUGGCAGCAAUAUAACAGAUAAAUGACUACUAUACCCUUUACAAAACCUUAAUAAACACCUUCACAUGCCUAAACACACUCCUGUAGCACCCCCCCCACCCCCCGAAAUUUGCAGGUAAAUGCUCACCCCUGUCCCUUUAACAGGAGGUUUCAGUGGUAUGAGCCCACCCUUUUCAGAGUAUGUUAUCCUGUGUGCAUCCAUCAUCUUAGGAGAUGUGGAUGCUGUAGCUGCAUUCUUGCCUGGGCUGUUCCUAUCACCCAUGAGUCCACCCAGCUGUUGGGGCAGGACCCCCAAGGUGACCCCCCCAGGAGUGACCUGUGCUUGUUGCACCCUGUGCUCUCAGCCCACGGCCAGGGGAGGGUGUUCUCUCAGGCCUCCACAGAACUUGAGGUGCCAGGGGCAGCUUCUUGGUAUCAGACCAGGUUUUCACUGCUUUUUUCUCCCUGUUAGGAAAUGUUAGGGCUUUUUAUAUUUGAUUUUUAAGCUGAUUCUUCUUUCCCACCUGAGGUCUCUUGGUAACUGCCUGAUUACUAUUUCAUGUGGUUGAUGGUUAUCUUCAUUUUCAGACAAUCUCAGCGAAUUUGGAGCAAACACCCUCUCAGUACUGGACGUUUUGUUCACACACAUAGCACUUCUAUUUCUAUCAUAGCAGCUGAUGUCCAGGAUUUUCUGCCACAUUGUACUCCAUGUAGGUUUCCCCCAUUACUUGGAGCUGUUUCCUGGAAUACAAGAAUUGUUUCUGAAAUUCUAAAAGAAUAGCUGAGCUGGAGCUACUGCCAAGAGGUUUUGUUAAUCACAUCUCAAACAAAGCAUUCCUCAGAUGAUUUUGCCUCCGGGAUUCAACUUCGAAGGCAUUCUCAGGGGGAGCUGCGGUGCUGUCACAGCACUGUUGAGUCAACAGACGUAGAGCACUUGUUUGAUGCAUGGAUGACUGAUCUUCGAUUACCACCUUUCACAAAACAAACGAAAACAUCUGUUCUUUUAUUUAUAUGUGAGCUUUCCAAGUAGGAGUGUACAAUUUUCUUUUGUUUAUUUUUGUUGUGUGUGUUCUUUUUCCCUCCUGACUCACUGAAUCUUCAUUGUAUGGGAAGUGAAACUUUGAGCACUGAAUGGGUUGGGUGAUUGCAUCUCUAUUCAGGAUGUUUUACAGCAUGGUAGUUGGUAUUUUUUGGUACCUAAAAGUUUAUUAUCCCUUAGAAGAUAGCUAAGCACAGAGUUUUAAAUUAAAUUCUAUCCCCAAGAUAUGGCAUUAAGAUAAUGGUAUAAUUAUUUAUUAGCCUAUGUUUGGAGCAGACUUAGUUGUUCUGCUUUGGGAAGGAAUUCUGGUUUAUGAACCCAAAGGCUUCCGAAAUGUUUCCCUGCAGAGAGUUAGUAAAUCUUCACAAAUACAAAAUUACUCAGUCCCUGCUCUCCUUUCUGGCAUUUUCUGCUGGGCAGCUUGGCUUUGUUAUACUGGCUCUCCUAGAUCUCUGAAUAGUUGCAUAGAGACUGUGCAUAAUUUUAGAAGUCUUGAGAAUUGAAAUCAGAGCCCCUUAGCUGUAAAAAGGAUCUGAGAGUUAGACCACAGAAUGGCUUGGGUUGGAAGGGGCCUUAAAGCUCAUUUAGUUCAACCCCCCUGCCGUGGGGAGGGACACCUUCCACUAGAGCACCACCCUGAGUGCUGCAGCAAUACAAAUGCUUCUGUGCACCUACUUGUUCAGGCUCUGUUUUUGAGUAUUGCUGAAUAACUCCAUUUAACUGUACUGUAAAUAUUAUUUGUUUUCAAGCAGUUAACCAUCUUGAAAACACAUCAACAUGACUUAGUAAGUAUAACACUUGAUGAAUUUACAAAUGAAUCUUGGCAUAAGGCAAAUGCAUUUUAACACUAUGGUUUGUAUGCAUGCUCCCUGCAUAUUUAUUUUCAACUUCCAGUUGAUUAGCUGCUUUGUCUUGUGUGCAGAAAUGGCCUGUUUAAUGCAGUAGGAAGUCGAGUAGAAGCCAGCAUUUGUUAAUAGAUGCUUUGAACAGGCACAGUCAGACAUUUUAAAUUAUUCUAACUAAGCAGGAAUUCUAAUUUAUUUCUAAAGAUAGAAGUACAACAACCCAAUUACCUAGUUUCCUCACAGAGUGUAAUGAGUACAAUUAGCAUAAAAUUGGUCUAUAAAUUUAAUGGGCAAUUUCUUGUGUGGACAUUGAAAACACUAGUAGAAAUGUGGCAAGCUAUAUUAGAGUCCAUAUAGUAACUUGCUCCCAUUGGAUGCUUCCUUGACAGAAGGCAUUACUGUAAAAUAUCAAUCAAAUCUGUUCAGUACAAGGAGUUUCUAAAGUAUUGGUUCCAACAGGCAUGCCAAUAGGCUUAAAAGUUCCUUCAAUAAGAGAAUUUUGUUGGCUGGGUUGGCAGUAGGGUUUUUUACCUUUUAAAGAUGGUAUUCUGACUACAAAUUCAAACUUGUAGUAUAUGUGAGGUUGUGGCCAGUUCUGUGUGUGUAGCCUCAUAGGAACAGCUGGAUCAGUUGUUCUAAAUGCAGAAUAUUCACACAGCUGAUAAUAAAGAUAAUAAAAUAAUAUUUAAUACUCUUGAAAGUGAAAGGGGUGCUGGAGUCUUGCAGCUGAUGCAGAGGUUCUCAAAUCAUGAUUCUGGCUGGUGCCAGCACUUGUGCAGUUGGUUGGAUGUAACCAGCUGUGGGCCAUUUCAGAAGUUCUAGAUGAUGGAACCCAAAGGAUAAUUUUGCCUCCCUUCUACAGCUGAUUUGUUUGUCAUGGGAAGUUUCUAUGUGAAUGUAUUUUCAUCUAGUAUAGUAAACUGAGACAUAGAAUAAGUUGCGGUGACCUGCUGAGACUAAAGUGGUGAAAAUUAAUGCUGAGAGAGAACACAUACUUAGAAGAACACGAAGUUUCUUCUGCUUUGUCUGUUCCCUAGAGAAUGAAUAAACAAACAAAAAACCCAACCUUGAGGUUUGAAGAUUCAGACCAAGUUCUUCAAAGUAUAUUUUCAUGAUGGAUUUUUGAUUUCACCCUAGUGCAAGCUGACAUUACUGGAAGGAGAGAGAAAUGUAAAAGACUUUUCUCUAAAACAAACUUACCAAUCAUGAAAAUGCUUUAAUUCCUUCAGGAGUGCAUCCGUUUUAAAGGUACUUUUAUUGCACUAUGCUGUUAAGUACAAUGAAUAAAAGUAUAGCUGUGACUGUGAAAAUAGCAAGUUAUUUCUUGUGCAUUACAACAGCAACUCUCUUAGGGAUUUAUGCCCUACCACGCUUUUCCCUGUCUGAUAAUUUCAUACAGCGCACUUGCCUGCCUUCCUCUUUUGCCUUACCACUGAGCAAAUGAAAUAGUGUGGAGGUUCUGGGCUGCUCUGGAGAGCUGGUGGGCCACUGUGUGUACUCUGUGACUAGCAGCCUGCCAAAAAAAAAAACAGGCAGUGUGGUCAAUUUACUUGGUUGUAGGGCCAUUAAAAGAUGUAUCUUUACAUUUCUAGGAUUUAACUCAGAGCAAUGUAAAUUAUUUUAUUAAAAUAUAUUAACACAUAAUUAACAAUUCUGUUCCAGGUUAAACCCAAAGAAUGUUAAUCCUAUGGGAUUUCUAACUUUGGUUUAUUCAAUAAAUAGUAUUUUAAAGUAGGUAUGAAAAAAAUGGGGUUUUUUUAAGUUCCUGAACUCAAUGGGAACCCCACAGCAAGGGGAGAAAAGCAUGGAGCAGUCCAUUUCUGGGCUCCCUCAAACUGAGCUGUACGCUGCUAAAAUAGAUGUUCUUAUGGAGGAGAAGUGUUCUUAGGUCUUUUGUUCAGAGAGAGUCACAGAAAAGAUAGGUCAAAGUUUUAAAUAAAUCUCUUGGGAGAGUGUAUUCAUAUCUUACCUGGUAAAUCAGUGCAUCUCUCUUCACUAGUAGCUGAAGAUUAAAGACCUGUUUCUCUGAUAAGAGUGUUUUGGCAGUAGAACUAAUAAGUAAAGUAUUUUGUCAGUCUGUGUAGGAAUUUGGGUGGUUUUGACUUGGUAUGUGAGAACCACCUCACUUAAUCCUGAUUAUGGGAAUAAAGUUAUUCACAGGUAGUGCAGGAAGGGGCUGAUUUUUGUGGCUGUGCUCACAUGGGUAGCUGCUCCUGAGCCCCAGCAGUGUUUCAGGGCUGCCCUUACUUCUGGAGGCAAAAAAAUUUUUAAAAAAAUUUGAAAGUUCCCAUCUCUGGAAAUAUGGUCAAGCUGAAUGGGAUUCUGAGCAACCUGAUCUAGUUGAAGGUGUCCCUGCUCAUUGCAGGGAGGUUGGACUAGAUGGCCUUUAAAAGGCCUUUAAACCCAAACCUGUGAUUCUGCGAUCUUACUAAAGUGGAAAUUAUAAUGUAUUUCUCCCAUAAAAUGCUUUGUGAUUAACAAAAUAGAACUAAAUGUAAGCACAAAGCAAACCCCUGUUUCCCAGGAAGUUUCAGAAGUUAAAAAUAUACGUAUGGGUAAAUUUGGAAGUUAUCUGCAAGGUCAGGUAAGUAGAGCAACACUAUUGCUUGUAAAAAUAAUUGUGUUGAUUUUUCUCUUCUGUGAAUUUUUUUCAGCACAGGCUUUUACCGUCUAUUGGAAGCAGAACACUUGUGCUCUGAAAUGAAUAAUUAGCUGUUGAAGUAGGUCUGUACUGUGUCAGUACUGUCUUCCACUUGCCUGCUCUUAUGUAACAGAAAUUAAAACUAAAAUGGGGAAAAGUUACUAAAUCCUAUACAGAGGUUUAACUUUUAAGAAUGGGAUUGUAAUGUUAGGAAGAUGCUGCUUGGGAAAGACACCUUUCCAACUAGUGUUCUCCUAGUAAUCAUGUUUUCAGCAGUGUUCUUGAAGAACUGAAUUUCUGAGCAUACUUCAUUUUAAAAAAUGAUAGUAAUUAAAACUCUAAUAUGGUGCCAUUAACUGACUAUUUUUGUGGAAUGGUACCAUGAGAAGCAAAUCACUUAGCAGUAAUGAGGACAUUAAAUUCAGCAUGCUAUGAACCAUGUAUGGUUUGUAUUUUAGUAAAACAUGCACAUUUCAUUUUUCAUAAUGUAUUUUGCAUAAAUGCUGAAUGUAAUUACUCUUUUUUGUCUAUAUUUGCAGCUAUUGUCACUUGUAUUAAGCUGUUUUGCAACUUCUCCAGCUCUGUGGAAUACAACUAACUGUAUGUUGCUGUCUAUAAUCAACUGUUUUAUUAAAAGGCAUAGUUAUUUAUUUAAAAAAUUAUUUAAAUCCCUGUUCUGGUAAAGUUUACUCAGCAACACAAUAUAAACUGACCACAGGAGAAUGAAGUCUAUGAUGGAAAGGAAAUGUAAUUUGCAAAGGUACAGCUCUAAUAGAGGAAUGUGUGUGAUAGCCAUGAAGACCUGCCUCUUUCACUGAGAACUGGAAUAGUGAAGACAAGGGAAGGAAACUGAAGAAAGAAAGAUAGCUUAUAACCUAAAUAUUUAAAUUCACACUCAAAACUAAUGAGAGACAUAUUACCAGCUCAAGAUUUUAAAAAGUAAAGUAUCAUAUUUUUCAUUAACUUUCUGUAAUAAUUUAGAUUGCAUGUAUGUUUUUCCAUUUCACCUUUUCAUGCCCUGCCUUCCCCUUUAUAUACUGUAGACAACUCUGCUAGUUUUUCAUUUCCAAGCUCGGUUACUCAGAGGUACUCAAUUACGUAUCACAAUGGUGUCUUUCUUUCCAUUUCCUGAAUGACAGAGUGCGUGUCAUUUCUGCAUUGAUUCAUAUGUUAGGUUGCCACAAAUGCUUAGGCUUUAAGACCUUGACAUUAAUUCCUUCUUCACAGCCAUUUAUGUCAGGAAAACUCAAUUGUUUGAGCACUCCUGGAAAGUAAAUGCAAGAAGUGCCCAGAUAUCAUUAGAUCAAAUUCACUGAAAAAUAUAAGAAGGGAAGGGGUACAAAGUGAAGAUAUAUGGCUGCAGAUCUCGAGUGUGGUUAGACAUGGAGAUAAGCCUUGUAGCCUGCUUGAGCUCAGGUAUUUUUAUUGCUUCUGCAGAAAUUAGUUGCAUGUAUAAUCUGACAGCAGGUCACACAGCAGUUUGGCUGGACCAGGUCUGGAACUUUGACGUCCAGAUUGCCAAGUUACUGCAGUUGUUGUUUUCCUUUGCUGCAGGCAUUUGUUAGCAUUUUUAAAAGCUGCUCUGAAAGGGAGCAAAGGGUAUAGCUACAAACAGUGAAACUGUGGCCAAUAUGUAAAUAUGUUCUAAGUGGUCCAAGAUCGUUGCAGGGAUGGAAGUUUAGGCUCCUGAGGGAGCCUCUGCAAAGGAAAGGCAGAAGGCACAAAGCAUUGAGGAACGAAUCUUAAUUGUACUUUCUGUCUGCUCCUUGUUGCUCAGGCUCUGAAGUGCCAAGGUUGCUAAGUGGCUUGAAUGUUUCUGAGAUGGGUUUUUUUUCCCCCCAAGUGGAAUAAAAGCAGUUCAGAGCAGCACAUUUGUUAUAGUUCUGUGUUCAGUUGGAACAUAGAAGGACUUCUGAGGGCAAAACCCUUGUUUUGGAACCUGACUCAAGAAAGCAUUUUUGCUUGCUCUUCUUGUUACCAAAAAUAAAAAGCAUUACUAAGCUAAGUGUUUGCAGCUUUGCCAGGGAAGCUGUAUUGCUUCCAUGUGAUUGCACAGAGUAUUGACAGAGAACACUAGGAAAAGGACUUGGAAACAUGGGGCCUUUGGAGAGGAGAGCUCAGAGGGCACCACAGGCUAGGCUAAAGCCUGAGAUACCAGUUCACAUAAGAGUCAGAGACUUUCAAAUCUGAAAAUGAAAA